GAUGAACGCUGGCGGCGUGCCUAAUACAUGCAAGUCGAGCGAACAGACGAGGAGCUUGCUCCUCUGACGUUAGCGGCGGACGGGUGAGUAACACGUGGAUAACCUACCUAUAAGACUGGGAUAACUUCGGGAAACCGGAGCUAAUACCGGAUAACAUGUUGAACCGCAUGGUUCAACAGUGAAAGACGGUCUUGCUGUCGCUUAUAGAUGGAUUCGCGCCGCAUUAGCUAGUUGGUAAGGUAACGGCUUACCAAGGCAACGAUGCGUAGCCGACCUGAGAGGGGGAUCGGCCACACUGGAGCUGAGACACGGUCCAGACUCCUACGGGAGGCAGCAGUAGGGAAUCUUCCGCAAUGGGCGAAAGCCUGACGGAGCAACGCCGCGUGAGUGAAGAAGGUCUUCGGAUCGUAAAACUCUGUUAUUAGGGAAGAACAAAUGUGUAAGUAACUAUGCACGUCUUGACGGUACCUAAUCAGAAAGCCACGGCUAACUACGUG
rnacentral:rRNA from 1 species